AUAAAAGAAUUUCUAAUUGUAAAAUUUUACAAAAUUAAAUUCUCAGAGAAAUGUUUGCAAAAAAGUGAAAUAGACUUGGUGAAAAUUGGGAAUUUCAUUUUUUUAAAUUUUGGUGUUUGUCAACGUUGCACUGGUAUAAAUAUAAUAAACUAUACCAAUGAAGGUAGUAAAGAAGAAGUAAUUGCUACGCUUGGCAGGCGAGUUGACAACCGCAGUUAGGCUUUGGUGUCGUUUUAAGAAGGACGCCGCUGCCUAUCCCUAAGUACCUUUAAUCGCCUCUAACGACACCCACGGAAUAGAAUGGAGUAGUCCAUUCUAUGUCGGAACCACACGACGUGAUGGAUAGAUUGACGACAUGGUAAUAACGAAUAAAAGCAUAAAAAACAUAUUACAAGACAUAAAAGGAGAGAAAGAGAUCAAGGAAUAAUCACGUGAACAAAAGGGAAAACGUUGUUUUUAUAUCGUAUACAUUUAGUAUUUGUGAUCUAGACUAGACAGAUUUGUGGUUUGGUCCUAUACAAAAAUAAUCAAUGUGGGUACUUCUGCCACACUUGUGUUUGUGCUUCAAAUCACUGUUGAUUUUUUUUAUGCGAGAAAUAAAAUUUUU